rnacentral:rRNA from 1 species
CCCCAGCGCCACAAGUGGUUAUCACGAUUAUUGGGCCUAAAGCGUUCGUAGCCGGUUUGGUAAAUCUCUUGUGAAAUUGUUCGGCUUAACCGGACAGCGUGCAGGAGACACUGCCAGACUCGAGACCGGGAGGCGUAAGAAGUAUUCCAUGGGGACUGGUAAAAUGGGAUAAUCCAUGGAAGACUACCGAUGGCGAAGGCAUCUUACGAGAACGGAUCUGACGGUGAGGAACGAAAGCCAGGGGAGCGAACCGG